GAUGAACGCUGGCGGCGUGCCUAAUACAUGCAAGUCGAGCGAACGGACGAGAAGCUUGCUUCUCUGAUGUUAGCGGCGGACGGGUGAGUAACACGUGGAUGACCUACCUAUAAGACUGGGAUAACUUCGGGAAACCGGAGCUAAUACCGGAUAAUAUUUUGAACCGCAUGGUUCAAAAGUGAAAGACGGUCUUGCUGUCACUUAUAGAUGGAUCCGCGCUGCAUUAGCUAGUUGGUAAGGUAACGGCUUACCAAGGCAACGAUGCAUAGCCGACCUGAGAGGGUGAUCGGCCACACUGGAACUGAGACACGGUCCAGACUCCUACGGGAGGCAGCAGUAGGGAAUCUUCCGCAAUGGGCGAAAGCCUGACGGAGCAACGCCGCGUGAGUGAUGAAGGUCUUCGGAUCGUAAAACUCUGUUAUUAGGGAAUAACAUAUGUGUAAGUAACUGUGCACAUCUUGACGGUACCUAAUCAGAAAGCCACGGCUAACUACGUG
rnacentral:rRNA from 1 species